rnacentral:lncRNA from 1 species
UUCAACCCAAACAUGGAAAGGAGCUUUCAAAAUUCAAGACAAAUUGUAAUAUUUUGCUUGCUUUCUAGUUUAGAACACAAUGGCACACACAUGGCUUUCUCUUGGGCUACCUGACAAUAAGACCUUUUAUUUCCGCACUCCCUUGUACUUUACAUGUACCCCCCUCCCCUUUCUCAUGUACGCAUUUACUUGCUUUCUUUUAUUGCUUGAUCAGUUACUCCUUAGGCAUUAGGAA